rnacentral:rRNA from 1 species
UACGAAGGGGGCUAGCGUUGCUCGGAAUCACUGGGCGUAAAGCGCACGUAGGCGGCUUUCUAAGUCAGGGGUGAAAUCCUGGAGCUCAACUCCAGAACUGCCUUUGAUACUGGAGAGCUCGAGUCCGGAAGAGGUGAGUGGAACUCCGAGUGUAGAGGUGAAAUUCGUAGAUAUUCGGAAGAACACCAGUGGCGAAGGCGGCUCACUGGUCCGGUACUGACGCUGAGGUGCGGAAAGCGUGGGGAGCAAACAGG